UACUGAGAACCUGGACACAAUAAUCAACAUAACUAUAUCUGGACACAAACUUUAUUAUUCCAGCUAUAAGUAUCAUACAGUAGUAUGCUGCGAUCUGCAAGGUACAACGAAAUGGACUUUCAAAAAUGAAAACAAUUUAAAGAAUCCAUUUGGAAUAUCAGCUGAUAAUGAUGGUAACGUGUAUGUUAUAGGAUAUGGAUCAAAGAAUGUCGUAGUAAUCUCCCCUGAUGGACAAACCCAUAGAGAACUCUUAACUAAAAGAGAUGGUUUAGAUUCCCCAUAUUCAAUUAACUUUAGAAAGGAAACUAAUCAGUUAUUGGUUGCAAAUGAAUUUCAGAAAGCGUAUUUGUAUAACAUAUCUAGUAUUUAAAACACUUAAAUAUUAGAUUUUAAUGUAGUAUUGAAAGAAAUGCAAAUAGGGAAUUUAUACAAAAACACAUGCAUACAUGGACUAAAGUUGUUUACACUUCUUCUUACAGCGAAAUGUUUAUUAUGUUAUUGUUUCUUUUUUUGUUGUUGUAUUAAAAGUAAUAUGUUUAGUUAGUAUUGUGUCGCAUUCAGUUUAGGUUAAGUCACUGUUUAUGGGAUUUUCAAGAAAUUAAAAAAAAAACACUUAAUGAGACGAACGAUACCAGAGGGGCAUUCAAACUCAUAGAUCGAAAACUGACAACAAAAUAGCUAAAAAAAAAACAAAAAACAGAAUAGUUAUAGUACAUAAGACAAAACAUAGAAAACUCACAACUUAGCAACACGAACAAAACCGGUAUAUAGUCUUAUUCGGGGGGUCAAAUUCUUGAAUAGGGAACGGGGUUGUAGUUACGACAUAAGCAACAUAUCUAAUAUCAUCUGUGAAACGGUUAUUUUAUAAUGGUCAACCAACUCAUGAUGGCGUCCUUACAAUUUAAGGGAAGAUUUAAACUUCACUCCUUUGAACUCUUGGUUAAUAGCUUCCUUGUGACUUGAGUGUCAGCUGACCAUCAACGGAUUUUUAUAUAUAAGUCAUGGUACAUAAUAAUACCACUGAGAAAUUGAUUGACUUACUUUCUGAAUAAUACAUACAAAAGCAAGGACAUGCAUGGAACACACAACUGCUAGCUUUUCUCAUACAUUUAUCUUUUUAUCUAAGGAAUGAGUGAAAUUUGUAUGUAUCAUCUAUAUAGGUAACUGAUUACCUGUACUGUGAAGAUAUAAUGAGAGUGCUUCAAAACGGAUAACCAAAACUACUCAAUGUUACAUUGGAGACUAUAGUAUGAUUGACUGCACAUCAUUGACCUUAGAAAGUAAAUUUGCACAUAGACCCAACUGUAUUCUACCGUGUGAUAAAUAGCAUCCGAAAACAUCGAUAGUGUUGCCUGCUUAAAAAAGAUUUACAGUCACAAAUUUAAAAAGUUAAAGGAAGUAGCCGAAAACAUCGAAAACAGCUGUUAAAAGUAGCAAUUUGAAAGCAUUGUCCGAAAAAAAAACCUAUAUUUCUAUCAGAGAAUCAAAAUCUACCCGAUUACAUUACAAAUAUUAAGCAUGUAGUUGUAGUAUACAUGAUGAAAAUUAUCAGAUUUACUGCAAUGAACAUGAAUGCCCGUGUUGUAGUGAGUGCAUCGUUGAAAACACAAAAAAUGUCAAAAUAUUUACAAUCUCUUGAUAAUGGAAACUAAUGAAACAUUUAAUGAAGUUGCUGAAAACAUCAAACGGAUUCGUCAACAUAAAAAUGGCAACCUGAAAACAUUGUCCGAAAAAAUAAAAUACAGAUUGAAUGUGAAACUGAACAGUUUCGGUUCAAUAUCAAUCAUCAGCUUUAUAAAUUGUAACAAAACUUCACAUCAGAAUUGUAUGAGACAGAAUAAGGAGAAAACAAAAAUCCAUCAGUUAAUGAAAGAUUUAGAUGAGCUUGGAAGUAAAGUUGUAAAGCACCAAAAAGAACAUUGCAAACACACAACAACGCCCAUUAGAUCUACGGACAUUUCUAGCUCUGAAACAACUUGAAGGUGAUGUUCAUGAAAAAUAUCAGUCCGUUGAUUUAAUAACCAAAAGCGGUGUAACAAACCACCACGAUGAUAACACUGUAGUGAUAACAUCCUGUUGGAACUUCAUUGUCAAUUAAACUAAAAAUAUAUUUAACGAAACGAAAUGUGAAGAAAACUAUCUAUCCUUUUGGAUAACAAUAGGCAUAGCGGUAACAAAUAAAACAAUGCUGUACCAUUAAAACAAAACAAAAAAGCAUUCCAAGCCAGUACUGACCCAAUCAACACCAUGAACACAGAAAUCAGCAUAACUAUAUCUGGACACAAACUUUAUUUUAGUUAUCAUUAUCAUACAGUAGUAUCUGACAAAUUACAAGGAACAAAAACAAAUGACAUUCAAACAUAAAAAUGUUUUGAGGUUUCCUGCUGGUUUACCUGCUGAAAAUGUUGAUAAUGUGUAUGUUAUAGGGAGUUUAAACAGAGACUGUUGUACUGAUCCUACCUGAUGGAUAAAAAUAUUUAAAAAAAAACUUUAGCUAUAUCGGAAGGUUUUAAAUCGCCAUGCUCAAUUAACUUAGGAAGAUUAGCCAGUCAGUUGUAAGUUACAGAUUCAAAAAUUACACUGAUCUCUAUCAGCUAUCCAGAAUUUUAAACCACUGCAAAUGUAUCAAAAUACACUAUUAAAGAUUAAAAUUAAAACAUAUAACUAUAGAGAAAGACAAUUUUUAGCAUUUCUUUAAGUGUAAAUUAUUUUUUAACUUUAUUUUUUAAUUGAAAUAGUAUGUACGUUUUGUUUGUCUAUUUUCGUAUACAACUUUCGACCGAUAGAUUAUUCUGUAUCCGUGCGGUACGUUUGGUUUUUGGUCAAAAUAGGUCUUAUGUUUUACCUAGGACAUGGGUAGGUAAAUAUAAUUAAACAAAAUAUGUGAUGGCGUAAGUUUAUAGAUCCGAGUUUCAAUUCAAAGAACUAACUUGGUACAUUAUUGAAUCAAGUCAAUUGAGAAAUUGAUCGAUUUUCAAUAAUUGAUUGGUAUUUAACACUACUUCUAAUUUGUUUCUACUUUAUCUGACGAUUAGAUUUUAUAGGUGGAGGACGUCUAAGUGCCAUGAAAGAACCAUCAAUAUUCGGUAGACAAACUUGCAAUUCUUGUCAAAAAUAAGAUCAAAGUUAAACUUGAUGACAGGCUUGUGCUACAGUAAAACAGUAUUUUGACUUCUACGUCCACAUGGCUAUUAAGACCAAAAGAAGUUGAUUGAUUCAUCUAAUGUAUGAGUAAAGUUUGUAUGACUAGUAUAAUAUUUUCAAGUAAAUUAAAUGAUUGAUUGAUUGUUGGUUGCUUAACGUCCAGUGGCAAAUAUUUUAAAUUAAAUGAAAAACUAUGUCUGCAUCAUAUAUGUUACAUAAAGGGUAAACUUAAAAAAUAAUUCUUUCAUGCCAUGCUCUAUAUUCAUUUUAACAUGGGUAGGCAUUAUAUAUGUUAAUAUCUUAAUACCGAGCGUUAGCGAGGUAUUAAAUGUUUACAAAUAUAAUGCCUACCCAUGUUAAAAUGAGCAUAGAGCAUGGCAUGAUAGAAUUAUUUCGAUUCUAAUAGGAAUAUUUUGAACUUUUCUACUUCGAAGCGGACCUAUAGUAGACGCUCGAAAAGUCGCCAUUUUGAUGUGAUGAACAAAAAAGUUAUAGAAAAAUCAACAGUUUGUUAAUAAAAAGAAAGAACAGAAACAUUUAAACUUACUUUAAGAAUGUUUUAUUUAAUUUUCUAGCAAACAACAGCAACUGAAAUGUCCUUUUUGAUCUCUGGCGUUAUUCAAAAUUCAUCUGACGUUGCAAUUUCAAUUGUGACGUCAAUCACGUGCAGCCCAUGUUGUAUUCGAAUUAGAACAUGGCUUUGUACCCAAAGCUAAAGAAGAACGUCAUAUUAGAAAGAUAAAUUAAUGUUAGACAUUAAAAUAUUGUUUGAUUUGAGUUUUUGUCGGGAACUGAUAAAAAUAUACCUUUUUUUAAAUUCAUAAUAAUUUCCAAAAACUGGCAUUAUCAGACAUAAGUAUUUUCUCAUUUUCCAAAAAUCAAAAGAAGCGAAAGAUACCAAAUUUACAUUCAAAUUCAUACAUCGAAAAAAAAAAGACAGCACCAAAGCAAAGAAAAACAAAAAGAUGAAAAACAGUAUACGAGCACAAUAAGAUAACACCAAACAAAGAUUUUUUUCUAUUUUUAAUUCAAAUAUGUAAACAGUAUUUACGUCGAUACGUAUCUAUUACUGAUUAAGAAUUCAAAUGUUCAUUGUUUAUCUUUGUAAAUCUUUAUCUCAUAACAUAAUUAUGAAUCAAAUAUUUAUCUUGUCAAAACUUUUUUGUAAAAUGAACCUGUAACAAAAUACCUAAUAGAAUCAAUCCGAUAAUUUUAAGCCAAGGUAAUAUGUCUUAAAGAGAAUUUUCAAAUGACGAUUGAUGAAAGAGGGACGAAAGAUACCAGAGGGAGAGUCAAACUCAUAGACAAAAAAUAAACUGACAACGUCAUGGAUAAAAAUAAAUAGAUAAAAAGACAAAUAAUAGUACACAACAUAGAAAAACUAAAGACUAAGCAAAAAAAUAAUUUGGCAUUUAAUGAUGAUAAAAAUAGAUAGAUGUUUUACAUACACCGGCAACCUAAAUGCAUAUUUAGAAUGAGAACAUGUUAAUGUUUUUUGAAAGAUAAACCUGCUUUGUACUAUACCGGCUUAAAUGAGUUUUUAACGUGUUCAUUGGUUCACAGUCCACAGGAAUAAAUUUCGUCAUAUCCUGCCACUGUUGUCUAGUCAAGAGAAAACUAAUCUUACUCAUAAAUGUCGCGUGUUUACCAUGAAACAGCAAAUGACAAGUUUAAAACCUUUUGUUUCACCUGCUUCAAUUUCAUACAAAUCUUUGACUUCCAGCAACCGAAUGGAACUCGCUACUACGACACCACUUAUACGAUUUAUGCGUUUUGAUACGGGUUAUGUUCUUGUGAUACAAUUUAUGAUGGUAUGCUUCUAAAUCCUUAACGGUAUUGAUUGUACUUGAUUUUCAUAUGAUGAAGACAUAAUCUUUCAAUCAGUUAAUGUCAGUAACUGCUUGUAGUCAUUUGUUAAUUUAUUUAUCAUUGUAAAUUAACUUAGUUUCUUUUGUUACCUAUUCUGAUAUCGGACUCGGACUUGUUUUAAACUAAGUUUUACUGUGCGUUUUGCUAUGUGAUUCUUUUUUAUUCUACAUUGGCAAGAUAUAUAGAAGGAGGAUUGAGAUCUCACAAAACAUAGCUAACCCCGCCACAUGUUGUAUUUAUGUGCGUAUGUGUGGUUGUCGUUUGUUGAUGUUACAGAGUUGUUUUUGUUUAAAUUAUGUACAUAACUUAGGCCGUUAGUUUUCUCGAUUAAAAUUGUUUUUUAUGUAUAAUUUCCUGAAAUAAAAACAUUAGUUUAAGAAAGAAGUUCCUUCUUUUCUAUAUAUUUUACUUGUUUUAAUGACGAAGUCAAAUAAGAACAUUACAUGUUCGAUGUCUGUUGAAACGUUAUGUCUUAUGUGUGUCCGGGUGGUAUAAAUUAUAAUAAUAUUGUCCGAGUGCAGCUAUUAUUUAUUUAAUUAAUUAAUUACAGUUUUCUAAAAAAACAAAAAAAAAACAAGUUAAGGUAUGACUAUGUCUUUACUAAGGUAAUUUUGUUGCCAUCGAACAAACGAUGAAAUAAAUGCAUGAAGUAUACAGAUAAUUUAUAAUGGUUUUAAGUAUUCACCCCACCUCCCUAAACAAUGGACCACUUCAACGUAAUAACGAAUGCCCAUGUCCUACUUAAUAUGACACACCGCCAUUGUAUGAUUAUUUUCCGAAAUUGUCAAGUGUUCCCCGCCAUACAAUACUAUAUGUACAUUAAGAUUAUAAAAUUUUAUGAUUAUGGCAAUGUAAACAAUAGAUGUGUUUACAUUUUGCUGUCAGUAUAGGGGACAUUGAAAUAUCUCGUGAUGGUUUAUCUAGUUAACUUCAUAUAGUUGAUAAACAUCUUAACAGAUUUGAAAAAAAUAUAUUCUCGAAGUGCAGACUAUUGAGUUGUAAAUCUUGAUGAUAUAUGAAAUGUGUAUUCGAAUUGUCUUUUUCAUAAUUUUCUCUUUAAAUUAUGUACUUUAGUUUCUGUAUCGGAAGUUAUUCUCUUUAGAGAAUGGGAAACGCAAUUAUUGAAAUGUCGAAUACACUUGGAAAUAAACUCAUCAUAGAUACCAGGACUGAAAUUUUACAUUUACGCCAGACAGAAGAUGUAUAUUCCAUGUUAUGCAGAUGCUGGUUGAAUGUUGAUUGUCCGUACGAAGAAAAGAAAACUGAGUUCACAUUGGGUUAACUGACAUCGUCACUAUAUUUGUUGUAAAUUUUAGUUCUUAUCUGACUUUCAUUGUAACUUUCUUAUAUGUAAGUCAAGAUAUUGAUUUAGAAAAUAUUAUCUGAGAGUAAGCGAAAGCUACUGUAAACCAACAAAUGUUCACGAGCGAAUAAUAAAGGUCACUGUCGCGAGUAUGAAAAUAACGCUAAUUUGCAUCUUCCAAAUAUAGGACACCUAAAUUUUUCUAUAUAUUGGUGUUUGCUCUUUGGUCGGGUUGGUUGUCCUUUCAACAUAUUCAUCAUUUCCAUUCUCUUUUUUAUAAAAAGUAAAAUCACAAAAAUACUGAACUCCAAGGAAAAUUCAAAAAGGAAAGUCCCCAAUCAAAUGGUUAAAUCAAAAGUUCAAACACAUCAAACGAAUGGAUAACAACUGUCAUAUUCCUGACUUGUUACAGGUAUUUUCUGAUAGAGAAAAUGGUGGAUUGAAUGGUGGAUUGAAUGGUGGAUUGAACCUCGUUUUAUAGCUAGCUAAACCUCUCAAUAGUAUGACAGUCACGUCAAAUUAUGUGAAUAUAUCAGAUUAACUCAAAGUUAACAAGAAAAUAACUUAACUCGAAAUAUGUUGUAUAAGAGUAAUAUGUAACGUGAAUGACCAAUUGUAAGAUGAUGGUUUUAGUCUAAUCAACUUUUUCAGUUUGAUUUUUUUUCAUUUAAUAACUGCAUACAUAUGUUUUAACUAAAUACAUUUGAAAUUAAACGGCAUUUAAACAUCAUUGUUUGUCAUUUUACAUAUUAGCAAAAAUCCGAUAUGUUUUCCAUAAUUUGAUUCUGUAUACAAUUUUCUAGAAUGUCUCUGUAAACGUCUGUUUGUCCAUAUGCAGUCGUCAAUGACGGUGAUGUUGGCUUAUAUCGUGUCACAUAAUUGUUUUAACGGAUCAAAAAGCAAAGCAAUGUGACGUUAAUUGUUAGAUGAUGUUAUUGAUUUCUUUUUUACUUUUAAAGUUUUAUUCAUUUUCAUAACUAUGAGAAAUCACAAAAUACGUUGUAAAAACUAUACACUAAUUGUAUAACAUUUGCAGUUUAGCGCCAUUUUAACAUUAUUAAUAACAUACAUUUGCAUUUGCUGUCGAUACAUUGGACUUUCAAAUAUCUAGUGAUAACUUUAUCAGAACGCCUUUGUUCUAGAGUCACGUCAUCUAAUUGUGAAACUUUCAAGGUAUAGGUAAUUACAUAGUUUCUUCAUAUGUUUGUAAUAAUGUUUGAAUAUUAGGAAUAACAUAAACCGCUAACCCUAAGUGUAAAAUAUUGACAAAUAUAAUACUUAUCCUUGUUAAAAUGAGCAUGUAUAAGGACAAGAAGGGUUAUUUUUUCAUAUUAUAAUUGGCAUUUCAUGAUUUUACUAUUGUUUCUGUUUAUAUUGUAUUACAUACAUUGCGUUGAAAAAAAGGUUAAGAAAGUAAGAAAGACUACGAAUACUUUGAGACCCCAGGGGAAAGUUGAAAGCGGGCGUCAUUAUGUAGGAAAUGAUGUAGGAGAAUGUUAUGAAUGUGUAUAUGAUAGAAUCCUAUUCAUUGAAUAGGAAUUGAAUGCAAGCGGGUGCGAAUUCAGCAUGUUCAGGGGGGAAAUAAAUACGUAAACAUACAAUUUAGUCAUAUGUAGAUCAAUCUGAGUGAAACUUGUAUAUCUUGUACCUAAGAUUACAAACUAAGUAUACAACUCAACACAAACGAUUAUAAACAACACUCAAUAGGCAACAAUAAGUGUAUGCUUUCAAUGGUUAAUUUCGUAUUAUUCGGUAUUGAAAAUAGUGGUUAAAUAAACUGGACAUCUGCAAUUGGUUUUUUCAAUUUAGUCUAGAAAUCACAAUAAUGACAUUUUACCCAACUUUAAAUGUAAAUUAGUUAUUAUUUUUUUUAGAAGAUGGCAAAAAUGUGUUGUUCAUUUAAGUACAAACCCUGUGUUAGGUCGUAUUCGGUAGGUCACAUUCGGAGAAAGGGAACGGGAUGUCAAGUAACAACAAUAAGUACACAUUCGUCGUCUUUUAUAAAAUAGUUAAUCCAUAAUAGUAAACCGAAUCGUUUAGGCUUCUGUUGAUUUAAAAAGUGAUUAAUUUCAAUUUCAGCACUUGGUAUAACAGCUUCAUUGUGAGCAGCAAUCAUCUAUUAAGGAAUUUAGGAUAGUUAAUUCAGAUAUUGGGGUAUCGUAUCAACUGGGAGAUUUAUACUCCGUAUGCAAGCGCCGCUGGUAUAUUGCUACAUAGAAAUUGUAGAUUCACAAUUUUGCAAAUAUGAAAUCAUAUCUUUUGUUAUUUGUUCAAAAUGUUAUUUUCAAAAAUAUAUAGCAAAAAUUACAAUUGACAUUCAAACUUAACAACCCUUUGAUAAACAAAAAAAGAAAUCUAAAGACAAAGAGAGACAUAUAAAACAAAACAUAGAAACUAAAAACUAAUCUCAGGUGUUCUGGGAUAAAAAAAAAAAGAAAGAAGAAAAUAAAGGUCCUUCUCAAUAUGCUACACUCGAUGUGCUGCUCAAGUAUGUUCUAACCCAGUAAUAAGCUAAAUAAGUUUGGUCAAAAAGGGCACAAGAUUGUUAUUCCGACAAUUGAACCAUAUCCGUCGUCAUCAGUAAGACAGAACUCAAUAAUGCUCAACCCACUAGUGAUUGAGUCAAUAUAAUUUUCUGCGGAAUGUUUUCAAACUUACCUCUCAAAGGAAAAGUAUGUUACAAUGUAAAAUUUAUAAAUGCUAUACCCUUAUUGCAAUCAAUAUUGUUGUUGCAUUAUCGUUAUAUGGACGUCUUCAAUAUUACCGUAAAGCAACUUUCUUUUAAGCAGUUUUUAUACAGUUUUUGACCACACUAUGAAUUGUUAUAAUAUCCAUUGCCACCAAGGUUAAACACAAAAAUUGUUUGAUAAAGAUAUUCAAAGUCCCAACAUAUACGUAUACCAAAACGACACUAACAAAAGAAGAAGUCUAGACAAUCAUAUAUCUAUUUCAUGAUCACUUCUAAUCCUAUCCAAUAAAUUAAAACGUUUUCUUUUAUUUACUCUAUUCGAUUAGAAGAUUCCAGAACACCUUGAAAUGUUCUUUCAAAAUAACUAACAUUUUUUUCUAUUUGCAAUCGAGUAGUUCUUUUGAGUUAAUUAUUGGGCUUUGUAAUUCAGUUGGCGAUUCUCAAAAUAAUUCAAAAAUUGUCUGUAUUUACUGGAGACGCGAAUUCCUAAACACCUUGUCCAUGUUGACACCUCUUUCCGAAUUCCUAACAUAUUUUCUAUCUGCUAUCAAUCGGUCGUCGUUUUCAUACUUACAAGGAAUCAAUAAACUGUUUAUAUAAACAUAUAAUAGUGAUACAUUUAAAGUUACGCGCCAUUAUAACAUUCGUAACAUGAUUUACAGAUGUCAGUAGAUUCGACGAUAAAUAUUUCGUGACUGUAUCGUUUGUUUACCUUCCUGGUUGAAAUAUUUUAUCAAGUUAAAGACAUUUGUGUAACUCCUUCAAAUUCAGGUAAAAUUAUUGCUGUUUAAUUUCAUUCAAUGACAUAUAAAGAAAGGAAUAGUAUUAAAACAAUCUGAUCUCCAAUACGUAUAGUUUACAUGUUUUGACAAGUAAUUUUGUGACACAGAAUGCAAUUGAUGGUCUCUAAAACACAUUUUUUCUCCGUGUACACUAACGAAAAAAAGGUUUUGUCCUGUAUACAAUGUUUCCCCAUCACGUUUAAUGAAACGUCAAGUAUGGUUUAAUAAAUUCUUAUAGAUUGCGCCAACUGGCCAUAGCUACAUAACAUGCAUAAUGAAUAGAAAUAUCCAUUUUGAUAAUCUUCAUACUAGUCUUUCAAGGGUUAUCUAACUUUAACCGUCAAAACCUAAAAAUUGUUAAUACGUUUUAUCUAUAAAUAUAAUUUCAGCAAUUUCUUAAUUUUUUUCUAAAAAGUCAAUGCUGAUUAUCAAAGUAUGCCCUAAUUCCGUAAAGACGAUUUUCGUCUUGCAUGUACAUCAGUAAUAACAAAUUAACAUAGAAAAACAAGUUUUGUUCAUAUCACUUUAACCCCUAGUUUUUGGUGUGGUUCGUGUUGUUUAUUCUUUAGUUUUCUAUGUUGUGUCGUGUGUACUUUUGUUUGUCUGUUUGUCUUUUUCAUUUUUGGUAAUGGCGUUGUCAGUUUAUUUUCGGUUUAUGAGUUUGACUGUCCCUUUGGUACCUUUCGUCCCUUUUUUUAAUAUCUUUAGAAUACAUUGUGGACCAUUUUUUUUUUAAAUUCUAGCUUAAUCUGCAUCCAGUGUUCACUCCCAAUGAUCAGUUAAAGUGCAUAUUAAUAUAAUAGCUCUUUUUGCUUUCAGCAAUGAAUCUGUUUCUCUUGUUGCAUAGCUGUGAUGUUUUCACUCAGCUGGCACAUAUCUCUUAAAACUAUAUACCUUCAUUCUUUUAUAUAUUAAAGUAUAAACUUGUUUAAUUCAGAGACGAGUGUGUGUUGUAAUGGGAAGUUCAUUCAUACAUGUUCAAUCGAUCUGUAAGCUAAAAACAGUUGGAAUGCCAAAUCAUCCAAUCUGAAACGCAAAUUAGUGACAAUUAUCUCUUAUACAUAAGAGAAAUGGAACACUGUAUAUAUUAAUUUCAUAUUUGCAUAUGGAGAUGAAUUUAUUUUUUGCGAACUUCUCGGGUUUUAAUUUAAGAAAGAUACUUGAAAAGUAUCUAUAAUGAUAGUAACGUUAAAAAAAACAGCAGGUAAGGCUUGUAAAAACAGUUUCACAACCCUCUGUAAUUUUUCAGAUUUAUAUACUUCCACUAAAUAUGACUAUUUAGGAAAUAUACUUUAAUUUGAAAUGUUGCAUUUAAUAAUAAUAGAUUAUAGACACGUUUUGAAUGUAAAAGUUCUUUUUUUAAAUUUUGGACACGACCAGUUUUCUAGUUGUCAUAUAAAUUAUUUGAUACUUUGAUACCACUUGGAAAAUAUGGUUCAUGGAUGAGUAUCGUCCUGUGCUUAGCUAAAUGGGAAACAUUGUACUGCGUGUCAUACUUUGGCUUUACUAGCAAAAUGUAUUAUAAAACAUCAUUUAAUAUUACUAGAAGAACAAACUUUGGAGAUUUCCUAUUGAUUAUUGUAUUACAGUUUAAAUUCGUUUGUAAAAUGAUAAAGAAGAUUUAUCGUUUAAAUAGAUGCAAAUAGAAGCAUAUUAUCAUAAUAAACGAAAAACAUUUAUUUUUAUUAAAAGUGCUCGUGCUUCUAAAUAAAGGCAACAAUAGUAUACCGGUGUUCAAAAGUCCCAAAUCGAUUGAGAGAAAACAAAUCUGAGUUACAACCCAAAACCACAGGAACAAAUCAACUAUAAGAGGGAAACAAAGGAACAGCAGGAACACUAAAGUGCAACAAAAACAAACACAAACAUACAUAAAUACAAACUAUUUGAUAACAACUGCCAUAUUCGUGACUUGGUAUAGGACAUUUUAAGAAACAAUGAUGGGUUGACCUGGUCAAAUGGCUAGGUAAAACUUCCACCGUAUGAUAAAGUCAAGGUCUUUAAUGUUCGACACAAAGGCUUCCAAAUUUGUUUAUUAAGACAGAUAUUUCAACAUAAGUGCUGAAGUAAUAAGUUAUUUACGUAAAAUAGUUGUAAUAAAGAUUUUACUUUAUGUUGCUAUCUUCAUUCUAUAAUAAAACUAAGCAAUCCAUUAAAUGGACAAUACAUAUUUUAAAAGGCAGAAAACAACAACCACUCAUAUACAGGCUCCUUACAAGGGACCGGCAUAUAUAGAAUGUGUCAGGGUUAACAUAAGAGACACUGAAUACAGAUAUUAGAAUACUCGCAGAUAUUUUGCUAUAAUAAAAUAUACAAGGCUACAAGGUAAUGACUCAAACUCUGUUGAAUUUUUCUUUUAAGAUUAACAAAUGUAGUAAAGAUAACAAAUCUGAAUUUUUGAAAUAUUUUGAACGGUCAAUAUAUACUUUUUCUUGCAGAUGAUGGCAAGCUCUGAACCUUCAUGUGCUGUAUGUGAAUAUCAACAUGUCUUAAAAUCUGCCUCCAUAUGGUGUUCAGAUUGUGAUGAAGGCCUCUGUAUAGACUGCAGUAAGCAUCAUGGAAUUUCAAAAGCAACAAGAAAGCAUGUAACUAUUCCGAUAUCAGAAUAUAAAUUAUUGCCGACUUACAUUACAAAUUGUAAGCAGACAUGUAGUACUCAUGAUGAAAAGUAUCUGAUUUACUGUAAUGAACAUGAAUGCGCGUGUUGCAGUAAGUGCAUCGUUGAAAGGCACACAAAAUGUCAAAAUAUAUCAAAUCUAGAUGAUGUUGUCAAAAACACAAAGACAUCAAACGCUUUUCUGGAAAUUCAUGAAUCAGUUAAUGAAGUUGCAGAAAAUAUCAAACGGAUCCGUCAAGAUGAAAACAACAAUCUGAAAACAUUGUCCGAACAAAGAAAACAGAUCGAACGUGAUGUUCAACAAGUUCGAUUAAACAUCAAUCGGCAUCUCGAUAAACUACAAGAGGACUUCAUAUUAGAAUUGUAUGAGAUCGAAAAAAGAGGAAAUAAAAAAAUCAAUCAGUUAAUGAAAGCUUUAGAAAAGCAUGAAAGUAAAGUUGCCGAGCACCAAAAGAAUAUAGCAAACAUAAAACAACACGCAUCAGAUCUACAGACUUUCCUAGCUCUGAAACAGAUUGAAAGUGAUGUUGAUAAAAAUUGUCAGUUUAUUGAUUCAAUUACUGAAAGUAAUGUUCUUAAUCGUGUGGAGAUCAAGUUUAACAUUACUACAUCACUGACUGACAUUGAAAAUAGUGUUCUUGAGUUUGGAAAAGUAUUUAUUGACAUCUCUAAUAGCUCAGUGAACAUUGUGAAGAAAAAGCAACAACAAGCUCAGUUGAUAUUACCUAAAGUAUCAUCAAUUGUGCCCAUUGAGAAUAUACAAGUCAAGUUAGAACAGACUAUAUAUACCAAAUCAUCCUUUGCUAGUGGAUGUUGCAUAUUGCCUGAUAGUAGGUUUGUAUUCGCCUGUCCUGAAUUAAACAAAGUUACUGUAGUUAAACAAGACGGGACGGUUGACUUUGUUUUGAAUGUAACAGCAGCAAAUGAUGUAGCGUACAACGAUAAAGAUAACACUAUAGCGAUAACAUCCUUUUGGAGAAGCAUUGGCAAUCAAAUAACAAUAAUCGAUUUAUUUAAACGAAAAGUAGAGAAAACUUUUUCACCUGGAGGACAAACCGAUGGCAUAGCAGUGACAAAUAACACACUGCUGUAUCACAUAUACAAUAAAUCAAUUCGGGUCAUGGAUCUGACUGACGAAUCAACACGUGAUAUAACUACUGAGCACAUGGACACAGAAAUCAACAUAACAAUAUCUGGACACAAACUUUAUUAUUCCAGUUAUAAUUAUCAUACAGUAAUAUGCUGCGAUCUGCAAGGUACAACACAAUGGACAUUCAAAAAUGAAAAAGUUUUAGCGAAACCACUUGGAAUAUCAGCUGACAAUGCUGGUAACGUGUAUGUUGCAGGAUUUCAAUCAAAUAAUGUCGUGGUUAUCUCCCCUGAUGGACAAACACAUAGAGAACUCUUAACUGAAAGAGAUGGUUUAUAUUACCCAUGUUCAAUUAACUUUAGAAAGGAAACUAAUCAGUUAUUAGUUACAAAUAAUUCUAAGAAAGCGUAUUUGUAUAACGUAUCUAGUAAUUAAACCACUUCAAUAUUAUAUCUUAAUGCAGUAUUGAAUGAAAU
rnacentral:lncRNA from 1 species